rnacentral:rRNA from 1 species
CCUACGGGUGGCAGCAGUGGGGAAUAUUGGACAAUGGGGGCAACCCUGAUCCAGCCAUGCCGCGUGUGUGAAGAAGGCCCUCGGGUUGUAAAGCACUUUCAGUGAGGAAGAACGCCUGGUGGUUAAUACCCAUCAGGAAAGACAUCACUCACAGAAGAAGCACCGGCUAACUCCGUGCCAGCAGCCGCGGUAAUACGGAGGGUGCGAGCGUUAAUCGGAAUUACUGGGCGUAAAGCGCGCGUAGGUGGCUUGAUAAGCCGGUUGUGAAAGCCCCGGGCUCAACCUGGGAACGGCAUCCGGAACUGUCAAGCUAGAGUGCAGGAGAGGAAGGUAGAAUUCCCGGUGUAGCGGUGAAAUGCGUAGAGAUCGGGAGGAAUACCAGUGGCGAAGGCGGCCUUCUGGACUGACACUGACAGGGAGGUGCGAACGCGUGGGUAGCUACCCGGAUUAGAUACCCGUGUAGUC